UUGUUUUCUACCAAUUUAAUAAAAUUGGAACAAUAUAGAAUAUAAGCAUGGUCCAUGCUCAAAAAUAACAAGCAUAAAUAGAGAAAUAGACCAUAAGUAU
rfam:Arabidopsis thaliana chromosome 2, complete sequence.